rnacentral:lncRNA from 1 species
AGGAAAGGUCGCAAAAAAGUGUAAGUCUCUAUAUGUAUUCAUUAUUUCUUAAUUGCUUACAUUUGUGUCUUGAACUUGUAAUUUUAAAUUUAGGACUAAGUGUAUUGAGCUUCCAACUCUAACAUCAUGACUAAAUGUCCUAAAUUUUUGAGCUUGUAACUCUAAGUUAAGGAUUAAGUGUCCUUAACUUUUGAGAUUAUAAGUCUAAAUUCAGGACCAAGUGUCCUUAACGUUUGAACUUGUAACUGUAAGUUAAGGACUACCUGUCCUUAAUUUUUGAAUUUGCAACUCUAACUUCAGGACCAAGUGUCCUUUAUUUUUGAACUUCCACUCUAAGUUCAGGACCAAUUGUCCUUAACUUAUGAGCUUGUUACUCUAAGUUCAGGACUAAUUGUCCUUUAAUUUAUGAGCUUGUAUGUCUAAGUUCAGGACCAAAUGUCCUUAACUUCUGAACUUGUAACUGUAAGUUAAGGACCACAUGUUCUUAAUUUUUGAAUUUGCAACUCUAACUUCAGGACCACGUGUCCUUAAUUUUUGAACUUCCACUCUAAGUUCAGGACCAAUUGUCCUUAACUUAUAAGCUUGUAACUCUAAGUUCAGGACUAAUUGUCCUUUAAUUUAUGAGCUUGUAAGUCUAAGUUUAGGACCAAAUGUCCUUAACUUUUGAACUUGUAACUGUUAGUUAAGGACCACCUGUCCUUAAUUUUUGAAUUUGCAACUCUAACUUCAGGACCAAUUGUCCUUUACUUAUGAGCUUGUUACUCUAAGUUCAGGUCUAAUUGUCCUUUAAUUUAUGAGCUUGUAAGUCUAAGUUCAGGACCAAGUGUCCUUAACUAUUGAACUUGUAACUGUAAGUUAAGUACUACAUGUCCUUAAUUUUUGAAUUUGCAACUCUAACUUCAGGACCAAGUGUCCUUAAUUUUUGAACUUCCACUCUAAGUUCAGAACCAAUUGUCCUUAACUUAUG